UGGUCGAUAGUUCAGUCGGUUAGAACGCAAGACUCAUAAUCUUGAUGUCGGGAGUUCGAGUCUCCCUCGACCAACCA
rnacentral:tRNA from 5 species